rnacentral:pre_miRNA from 1 species
CGUUGUAUAGACGUCACAUUUUAUAGUUAAUGAUAAAAGUCACGCCUUGUACAACGGA